rnacentral:rRNA from 1 species
CCUACGGGUGGCAGCAGUGAGGAAUAUUGGUCAAUGGACGAGAGUCUGAACCAGCCAAGUAGCGUGAAGGAUGACUGCCCUAUGGGUUGUAAACUUCUUUUAUAUGGGAAUAAAAUGUUCCACGUGUGGGAUUUUGUAUGUACCAUAUGAAUAAGGAUCGGCUAACUCCGUGCCAGCAGCCGCGGUAAUACGGAGGAUCCGAGCGUUAUCCGGAUUUAUUGGGUUUAAAGGGAGCGUAGGUGGAUUGUUAAGUCAGUUGUGAAAGUUUGCGGCUCAACCGUAAAAUUGCAGUUGAAACUGGCAGUCUUGAGUACAGUAGAGGUGGGCGGAAUACGUGGUGUAGCGGUGAAAUGCUUAGAUAUCACGAAGAACUCCGAUUGCGAAGGCAGUUCACUGGACUGCAACUGACACUGAGGCUCGAAAGUGUGGGUAUCAAACAGGAUUAGAUACCCUUGUAGUC